rnacentral:lncRNA from 1 species
AGACAGAUCAGGGAGAAGAAACCGCUAUAGGGAAAAAACCUCAAUGUUUUUACCUUGAACAUAGGAAAGAGUGAAAGGUACAUCUAACAGAAGUUGGGAAAUGUAAGAAGAAGGAGAAAGGAGGCUAAUUAGAGGGGACCAAUCUUUCUCUCUCCAUGGUGACAAGCUUGGAGAUCCUCCUGAACAUUGGUGGCACAAGACACAGGAGUUUGAGUUAUUUAAUGUGACAAAGGGAACCACCACCACCUCCCAUAGCAACAACAGAACGUAAACAGGAGGAGGGAGGUGGGGGGAAGGGUAAGAACACGACAUCCUCAUCCGCAUCUGUCACCAUGGGGAGUCCGUCCGUCAUGUCCGUGGAUCAGCAACCCAUGACUCCAAGCAAUCACUCUGCACGGCCCCACUGUAAGGAUGUCAACCUUCAGCGACGGCUGACCCCUCUCAGACCUCCAAGGGGCCACCAUCCCAGCUGCCCUCAUCAGCUGCUCCAAGUGGAACUCUGACUGAUGGAGUUGGCAGCGUCCACGCCCCGCCUCAUUAAGACCUGGUCCGCGGGCAGCCGGCUCCAGGUCCCUGCCCCGGUGUCACAUUACAGGAUAAUUACGCUCAGAUUAGUUUCUCACACCCUCUGGACAGAGACAUGCUAAUGUGGAUUCUUAGACAUUAAAAUCUUAUAAAGUUCUCUAGUGAUUUUCAGUCCAGUUUCUUAAUUUGGGUGCCCUAAUGGAGAGGAAAAGAUGUGGCUCUCGGCUUCCUACAAAGAGCCGAUUCCUCAAAUGACUUUCAUCAGAAGCUCCUCAGGGGCGGGAUGUCGCAUCUCACACCAGAUUCAGCACCUUAUUUUAAAAUGUCCGUAACCUAAUUACUGACCUUCUUACCACCAGCUCAACAGUCUUCACCUUCACAGCCCCAAACACUCGCGACCCCGGUGGCAACAAGAACCGGAGAUCGAUCAGUCACCUGGGUCAAUCAUUUAUUCUUUCAUCCUCGCCACCAUCAGAAGCAUAAGAGAACCGUCCAAAGGAGCCCUGAAUAACUCACAGGUGUUGUGACACAUCAGGCAUCUCUCUUUGUCCAGAGCCUGUUAACAGCUCAGGCUCCGGGGCUGCAGCGCGAUCUCCAUCAGGAGGCGCUCAACCUCUGUGGACUCCACUUCCUCAUCUGGAAGAUGGGGCUGCGUGGGACUGAAAGGAAAGUGCCUGAGGCACACAGCACCGCGCCUGCCCCAGAGCCUUCCAGCAACGC